rnacentral:rRNA from 1 species
GAUGAACGCUGGCGGCGCGCCUAACGCAUGCAAGUCGAACGAUUAAAGCACCUUCGGGUGUGUAUAAAGUGGCGAACGGCUGAGUAACACGUGGGCAACCUGCCCCUUUCAUUGGGAUAGCCACGGGAAACCGUGGAUAAUACCGAAUACUUCGAGACUUCCGCAUGGAAGACUCGAGAAAGCUCCGGCGGAGAGGGAUGGGCCCGCGGCCUGUUAGCUUGUUGGUGGGGUAACGGCCUACCAAGGCAAUGAUGGGUAGCUGGGUUGAGAGACCGACCAGCCAGAUUGGGACUGAGACACGGCCCAGACUCCUACGGGAGGCAGCAGUGGGGAAUCUUGCACAAUGGGCGAAAGCCUGAUGCAGCGACGCCGCGUGCGGGAUGAAGGCCUUCGGGUUGUAAACCGCUUUCAGCAGGGACGAGGCGAAAGUGACGGUACCUGCAGAAGAAGCCCCGGCUAACUACGUG